UUGAAAAUUUUAGAAUUUCAUGUAAUAAAAAAAAUGUCUAAGUGGCGCAUUUAACUUUUAUUCUGUUACGUGGCACUUUUUACCAAAAGACAGCAAAUAAUAAAGUUCGUCUAUUUUUUUCUACUUCAAGAUAGAAAGGAAAUCCAGGAACUGGCUAUUAUUAUUGUUAUUACUUCUAUUUGGUGCCGGAUUUCCUACUUCAUUGUUCUUUUGGCAUAAAGUAGUGCAAAAGACGCUACUGGUAAUCAGGCAGUAGAUGCACCUGGAAACUAUAAUCAGACUGUAAAUCAGCAGGAGUCACCUAUCGCGGAUGUGGAUUCUGAUUCUCCUGCAAUGCCAACUUUAUCUGAUGUAUCAUUCGAGUCAAAAAGUGAUUCUAUCUUUUUUAAAGUAAACAGUGUAGACAAUGAAAACAAGUUCAUAUAUUACUCCAUCUCUCUAAUGGACGUAAAUGAGCGGAAUAGUAAACUCAUUGGAAAAUUUUUGUACCGUAGUGAUAGUUUAUUUCAUCGUGUACUUGACUUGAAGUUUGGAAAUCGAUAUAAAUUUGAAGUCAAAGCUUGUAAUAAAAAAACUUGUUCCAAUCCUUAUAUUACCGAGGAGCAUACAAUAGUCCCUCCAUUAGGUACAAACAUAUAUGCUUUACAAAAUAUCAAAAAAAAUAUUAUUCCCAAGUUGUUUUAAUUUAAAAAAAUAUUUCAUUUAUCAUUUUAUAUUAUACUUACAGUAAUCUUUGUUCGUGAAAAAGUUAUAAAAUUAAAGCAUAAUUUUCUAUAUAGUCCUCAAAAUAUUCAUAUAUUAUUAUUUUUAUGGCGUUCCAACUGCAAUUUUUCUUAAUAUUGGUUAUCUUGAACAAAAAAAAUAGUGACUAUAUUUAUAGAAAUAAACAGUUUACGUGUAUUUGAAAAUAUUAGAAUUUCAAGUUAUAAAAAAUAUUUCUAAGAAAGACACGUUUAAUUCUUACUUAGUAACGUGUCAGUUUUAACCAAAAAUUUGUCUGAUUACUUUCUGUUUCAAGAUGGCAAUGACUUCUAAAAAUAUUCUGAUGGUAUUUUUUCUCACUUACAGCAAUUUAAAUAUUACUAAAUAUAUAAAUAGUUUUUCGUGCUAAAUGUAAUUUAUUUUUAUAGUUUAUUAGCAUUGAUGCU